UACGUAGGGGGUAAGCGUUGUCCGGAUUUAUUGGGCGUAAAGAGCGUGUAGGCGGUUUGGUAGGUCAGCUGUGAAAACUCGAGGCUCAACCUCGAGACGCCGGUGGAAACCAUCAGACUAGAGUCCGGAAGAGGAGAGUGGAAUUCCUGGUGUAGCGGUGAAAUGCGCAGAUAUCAGGAAGAACACCCGUGGCUAAGGCGGCUUCCUGGCCUGUAACUGACGCUGAGACGCGAAAGCGUGGGGAGCGAACCGG
rnacentral:rRNA from 1 species